rnacentral:lncRNA from 1 species
AUUGACCAUCCAUAUGAGGAUGGAGAGCCAUACUUAAGGAUAGCUUGGUCCCUAUAGCAUUAUAUAAACUUGUCCAAAAUCUUGAAGUAAAGUAGAGAUCUCGACUGGAGAUAAUUAAUACUAGAAUUCUAUACAAUCUCACAAUCUCUUUGAUAUAGAGUUUGGAAACCUUAUCCAAUGGGUCAUUUACUCUGAUAGCUAAGAAAUGAGCAGACUUAGUUAGUCUAUCAAUGAUAACCCAAAUGGCAUCAUGCUGGGAUCUUGUUU